rnacentral:rRNA from 2 species
GCUUAACACAUGCAAGUCGAACGAGAACGGAUUAUAGCUUGCUAUAAUUGUCAGCUAAGUGGCGCACGGGUGAGUAAUGUAUAGGUAAUAUGCCUCUUACUAAGGGAUAACAAUUGGAAACGAUUGCUAAUACCUUAUACUCCUUAUUAACCUAAGUUAAUAAGGGAAAGAUUUAUUGGUAAGAGAUUAGCCUGUAUUGUAUCAGUUAGUUGGUGGGGUAAUGGCCUACCAAGACAAUGACACAUAACUGGUUUGAGAGGAUGAUCAGUCACACUGGAACUGAGACACGGUCCAGACUCCUACGGG